rnacentral:sRNA from 2 species
AACGGAAGUUCGUCUGGUCGUCGCAGACGGGCGGGGGUUCCGAGCGGCCCUUGGGGUGAAGCCGUGGCAACGCGGCCGGGCAACUUCGCCAGCCCGAAUCCGACAGGUCAUCCUUCACAGGCGGCUGACGAAGGGUUGC